GGCCCCGUAGCUCAACUGGAUAGAGCACCGGUUUCCUAAACCGGGGGUUGCAGGUUCAAGCCCUGCCGGGGUCACCA
rnacentral:tRNA from 2 species